GAUGAACGCUAGCUACAGGCUUAACACAUGCAAGUCGAGGGGAAACGGCAUUAAGUGCUUGCACUUUUUGGACGUCGACCGGCGCACGGGUGAGUAACGCGUAUCCAACCUUCCCAUGACUAAGGGAUAACCUGCCGAAAGGCAGACUAAUACCUUAUGGUCUUCACUGACGGCAUCAGAUGUGAAGUAAAGAUUUAUCGGUUAUGGAUGGGGAUGCGUCUGAUUAGCUUGUUGGCGGGGUAACGGCCCACCAAGGCAACGAUCAGUAGGGGUUCUGAGAGGAAGGUCCCCCACAUUGGAACUGAGACACGGUCCAAACUCCUACGGGAGGCAGCAGUGAGGAAUAUUGGUCAAUGGGCGAGAGCCUGAACCAGCCAAGUAGCGUGCAGGAUGACGGCCCUAUGGGUUGUAAACUGCUUUUGUAUGGGGAUAAAGUCAAUCACGUGUGAUUGUUUGCAGGUACCAUACGAAUAAGGACCGGCUAAUUCCGUGCCAGCAGCCGCGGUAAUACGGAAGGUCCGGGCGUUAUCCGGAUUUAUUGGAUUUAAAGGGAGCGUAGGCUGGAGAUUAAGUGUGUUGUGAAAUGUAGACGCUCAACGUCUGACUUGCAGCGCAUACUGGUUUCCUUGAGUACGCACAACGUUGGCGGAAUUCGUCGUGUAGCGGUGAAAUGCUUAGAUAUGACGAAGAACUCCGAUUGCGAAGGCAGCUGACGGGAGCGCAACUGACGCUGAAGCUCGAAGGUGCGGGUAUCGAACAGG
rnacentral:rRNA from 1 species